UCUGCACUGCAGCCUGGGCAAGAGAAUGAGACGCUGUGUCUAUUUGAAAAAUUUUUUAAAGUAAGGAUGUUUUUUGGUGGGUGGUGGCAUGCAGCGAUGGCGGCAGGCAGCAGUGAUCCACAGGCUGGUGACGUAGAGGACACGUUACAGCUCAUCUUUCCUAAAGAGUUUGAAACAGCUGAGGCUUCUAAAUUCCAAAGUUCAUAUGCCUCUGGAACAUCAAAAGCAACAGAAUGAGAGUGCAGAGAAUGAACAGGAACUCUCAGAAAUCUUCAUAAGAACAUUAAACUGUACAGCCCAUUCCAGUCGUUUCAACUGAGAAACAGAGAGACCAUUUCCAGCGUUCGUAGCUUGCUACUCCAGAAAAAGCUUCGUAAGUUUGAGUUGACCUGUUUGGCCAACCUAUGCCCAGAGACUGCCAAGGAGUCCAAGGCUCUAAUCCCAAGCUUAGAGGGGCGGUUUGAAGAUGAGGAGCUGCAGCAGAUUCUUGAUGACAUCCUGACAAAGCACUGCUUUCAGUAUUAAUCUCCAAACAUCACUGCUCCUCGGAGAAACCACAUUCCCAGGCAUCACACCGCCUUCCCAGGGUCUGGGGCUGACUGCACAGAAAUUCUAUUGCAGAAGAGAGCCCAGCUUGGCGUUGGGUUAGGUUUCUGUUUCAAAUAACUCAUAGGCCCAGGUGACAUGUAAUCUUGAAGCAGCCUUGGGCAGUGGCUACCAGGGGCUUCCUGAACGUGCCUCUGGGAAGUGUGAGGUCAGGCGAGGGGUCAUAUAAGCCACGCUAUUGACUACCUCAUUCAUGGUUUUUGACCUCCACACCAUCUUUUACUCUUAAUAUCUCAUGUUUUAAUUUCAGUGUGUUUAUAUUUUUGAAACUAGACCAGAACAUAGUAGACUUUAUAGAGAAAGACCAAUUUUUUCUAGAUACCAAAGGAAGAAUUAAACCACUGUUAUUGUUUGAAA